rnacentral:rRNA from 1 species
UACGAAGGGGGCUAGCGUUGCUCGGAAUCACUGGGCGUAAAGCGCACGUAGGCGGAUCUUUAAGUCAGGGGUGAAAUCCUGGAGCUCAACUCCAGAACUGCCUUUGAUACUGGGGAUCUCGAGUCCGGGAGAGGUGAGUGGAACUGCGAGUGUAGAGGUGAAAUUCGUAGAUAUUCGCAAGAACACCAGUGGCGAAGGCGGCUCACUGGCCCGGUACUGCCGCUGAGGUGCGAAAGCGUGGGGAGCAAACAGG